AAGCAAGUCUCCAGUGUGCUCAGGUUUGCAGUGACCCUGUGCAUUGCUACAGUGCUUGUCAGAGAAGUUCUGAAAUGGUCUGAGGCCUUUCUCUACCCUCUCCAGAACAAGGGUACAGAAAUUUCAGGCAAUU
ensembl:snoRNA